rnacentral:rRNA from 1 species
UAGGGAAUCUUCCGCAAUGGACGCAAGUCUGACGGAGCAACGCCGCGUGAGUGAAGAAGGAUUUCGGUUCGUAAAACUCUGUUGUUAGGGAAGAACAAAUGUGUAAGUAACUAUGCACAUCUUGACGGUACCUAAUCAGAAAGCCACGGCUAACUACGUGCCAGCAGCCGCGGUAAUACGUAGGUGGCAAGCGUUAUCCGGAAUUAUUGGGCGUAAAGCGCGCGUAGGCGGUUUUUUAAGUCUGAUGUGAAAGCCCACGGCUCAACCGUGGAGGGUCAUUGGAAACUGGAAAACUUGAGUGCAGAAGAGGAAAGUGGAAUUCCAUGUGUAGCGGUGAAAUGCGCAGAGAUAUGGGGGAACACCAGUGGCGAAGGCGACUUUCUGGUCUGUAACUGACGCUGAUGUGCGAAAGCGUGGGGAUCAAACAGG